CUCAAAGGAAUUGACGGGACCCGCACAAGCGGUGGAUGAUGUGGUUUAAUUCGAUGCAACGCGAAAACCUUACCCACCUUUGACAUGUACGGAACCCUUUAGAGAUAGAGGGGUGCUCGAAAGAGAGCCGUAACACAGGUGCUGCAUGGCUGUCGUCAGCUCGUGUCGUGAGAUGUUGGGUUAAGUCCCGCAACGAGCGCAACCCUUGUCAUUAGUUGCUACAUUCAGUUGGGCACUCUAAUGAGACUGCCGGUGACAAGCCGGAGGAAGGUGGGGAUGACGUCAAGUCCUCAUGGCCCUUAUAGGUGGGGCUACACACGUCAUACAAUGGCUGGUACAAAGGGUUGCCAACCCGCGAGGGGGAGCCAAUCCCAUAAAGCCAGUCGUAGUCCGGAUCGUAGUCUGCAACUCGACUACGUGAAGUCGGAAUCGCUAGUAAUCGUGGAUCAGAAUGUCACGGUGAAUACGUUCCCGGGUCUU
rnacentral:rRNA from 1 species